AGGAUGAACGCUAGCUACAGGCUUAACACAUGGCAAGUCGAGGGGCAGCAUGAACUUAGCUUGCUAAGUUUGAUGGCGACCGGCGCACGGGUGAGUAACACGUAUCCAACCUUCCGUUUACUCAGGGAUAGCCUUUCGAAAGAAAGAUUAAUACCUGAUAGUAUGGUGAGAUUGCAUGAUAACACCAUUAAAGAUUUAUUGGUAAACGAUGGGGAUGCGUUCCAUUAGGUAGUAGGCGGGGUAACGGCCCACCUAGUCUUCGAUGGAUAGGGGUUCUGAGAGGAAGGUCCCCCACAUUGGAACUGAGACACGGUCCAAACUCCUACGGGAGGCAGCAGUGGGGAAUAUUGGUCAAUGGGCGAGAGCCUGAACCAGCCAAGUAGCGUGAAGGAUGACUGCCCUAUGGGUUGUAAACUUCUUUUAUAAAGGAAUAAAGUCGGGUAUGGAUACCCGUUUGCAUGUACUUUAUGAAUAAGGAUCGGCUAACUCCGUG
rnacentral:rRNA from 1 species